rnacentral:tRNA from 1 species
GACCGCGUAGCUCAGUUGGAAGAGCAUUGGGCUAGUAUUCCAAAGGUUGUAGGUUCGAAUCCCACCAUGGCCG